GUCUACGGCCAUGCCACCCUGAACAAGCCCGAUCCCGUCUGACCUCGGAAGCUAAGCAGGGUCGGGCUGGUUAGUACUUGGAUGGGAGACCACCUAGGAAGACCAGGUGCUGUAGGUG
rnacentral:rRNA from 1 species